rnacentral:rRNA from 1 species
AUGGAAUGGCCGGUUCCUAAGGAGACCAAAAUAUGGUUGCGUGGGGUCUCCACGCUCCCUUGCCGACCAUAUCCACAUAAGGGGCUCAUUGUCAAACCAGUCGGUGUGAGGGCCUUGCUGGUUGUAGGAGAAGACCUAAAGGUGCCACGCCAGCCAAGUAGCAUCAUUGGAUGUCUUUGCGGGCAUUAUUACCCUGGCUUGGUCCCCAUAGGAGAUGGUGAGGAGGAGCCAGCUUGGUCUUGGGAGCAUUGGAAACGCGCUCCGGAUACCAAAGACAAGCGGGACAGGGAGUACAACAAUGCUGCCGACCGAGACUUAUUUACUUGUGCCGAGGGUAUGAAAGAUGAAGCUAAUGAGGUUUUUGAGGCGAUUGCCAAGAAGAUUGUCCAAGACAUGCACUACGAGGGGCGCGUCGAUGCCGUGGUGAAGUAUUUCGCGCAUGAACGCAACAUGCUUCUCAAAAAGCAACUAGCCCGGAGAGUCCAUCUCACCCGUUCGAUGUACAUGAAGGCCGUUCCCUUGUGGUGCAACAACAAGAUUCCUUGCUAUCAGCAAAUCAUAUCCAAGUGGAUAAACCCGGAGUGGAGGGUCACACAUAGAGCGUGUUCGGAGCGGCGUGCCUUGAUGGGUGGUCCGGUACACCUUCAAGGCAACCUCAACCUCCACGCUUACGUGCAGAAGAUGAAUAGGGAGAGAGGCGAGGGAGAACAACCUCUCAACAGCUUCAUGGGAUUAUGUCUUUCCCGCACGUCAAAGAAACCUGAAGGGGGGUGGGUCAACCCUGGUGCUGGUUCGAGGAUUAAAGCAUAUAGUGGGAAGUUCAAGGAGUGCAACGGGGCCGACUUUGAUCCGGCCUCAGAGGACAUUGACGUCAUGGUUUCCCUCAUGUCGGGAGAAGGCAAGAAGGGUGGUCGGUUAUAUGUUGGUGAUGGUGCCAUCCGUAAGAAGGACAUUCCAAAACUCGCCCACCUCCGUGCUACCACCUCGAGCUCAGGUCUUUCUAUAGAGCGUCGCCCACAGCCUGGGCUGGACAUGCUGCAUCAAUUCGAGGCACGCCUACAGGAACAAAACAAGUUGCGGCAGGAGGCUCAGGCCAAUGCCCAACUUCAACAGGACCAAGCCAUGAAAAUGCAACAAGCCCUCCUGCAACAACAGGAAUUCAUUGUCAAACAACAGUCAACCCUGCAGGAGACGUUCGCUCGGUUGAGAGCUAAUAUGCAGGGUUCUACUUUGCCAGAUCUUCCUCCUCUGCCGCCUCUUCCUACUUUUAGCUUUUGUUCUCAGUCGGGACAAGACUCAAAUAACUUCGUGGUACCUGCAUCCAUACCUACCCAAGCAAGCCUAGUGACUCCCACUAUAGCUCAUGGCGCAUCGACCUCCUUGCAACAAUAA